AUACGGAGGAUCCGAGCGUUAUCCGGAUUUAUUGGGUUUAAAGGGUGCGCAGGCGGCCAUUUAAGUCAGCGGUUAAAUCGUGGGGCUCCACCCCAUUCUGCCGUUGAUACUGGGUGGCUUGAUUGCGGUCGAGGUUGGCGGAAUUCGUUGUGUAGCGGUGAAAUGCAUAGAUAUGACGAAGAACACCGAUUGCGUAGGCAGCUGACCAGACCGCAAAUGACGCUCAUGCACGAAAGUGCGGGGAUCGAACAGGAUUAGAUACCCUGGUAGUCCGCACAGUAAACGAUGAAUACUUGUUUUCGGCGAUAUAAUGUCGGAGGCAAAGCGAAAGCGAUAAGUAUUCCACCUGGGGAGUACGCCGGCAACGGUGAAACUCAAAUGAAUUGACGGGG
rnacentral:rRNA from 1 species